GACGAACGCUGGCGGCGUGCUUAACACAUGCAAGUCGAACGAGACGAUUGAAAGCUUGCUUUCGAAAGUCGAGUGGCAAACGGGUGAGUAACGCGUAGACAACCUGCCUUUGAGAUGGGGACAACAGUUCGAAAGGACUGCUAAUACCGAAUGUUGUAUAUUUUCCACAUGGAAGAUAUAUUAAAGAUGGCCUCUAUUUAUAAGCUAUCGCUCAAAGAUGGGUCUGCGUCUGAUUAGCUGGUUGGUGGGGUAACGGCCUACCAAGGCGACGAUCAGUAGCCGGUCUGAGAGGAUGAACGGCCACAUUGGGACUGGGACACGGCCCAGACUCCUACGGGAGGCAGCAGUGGGGAAUCUUCCACAAUGGACGAAAGUCUGAUGGAGCAACGCCGCGUGAGUGAAGAAGGGUUUCGGCUCGUAAAGCUCUGUUGUCGGGGACGAAUGUGCAGUAUUUGAAUAAAGUACUGUAAUGACGGUACCUGACGAGGAAGCCACGGCUAACUACGUGCCAGCCGCCGCAGUAACAC
rnacentral:rRNA from 1 species